UCUAGUUUUACUUUUAUGUUUUCAAUGUGAGAUAAGGUGGCGUGAUUUCAAGUUCAUUGAUGUUUUUAGUGAUAAUUGUGUUACGAACAGUUGGGUUGGAAAAAGCGUUUUUAAUGUAAUCUUAUUUCAGAUACUACUGGACUUCGAUGUGAAAAGAUGGAGCUGUGUUUCAGCUAUUGUCACAUAUCGGUGGGAAAUUUCGAUUUUAUUACGACUGAACGCUCCUCGCUAUCAUCAACCUACUUUGCACAGAACUUUUGCAUACCCAAAUAUGUCUUCACAACAGGAAUGAAGUACAAGGUUGCGCAGAUGAGACACAAAAAAUUUUUCGUUCUGCGCAUCUACGUCACACGGCUCAUAAAUUUCGUGAAAUAGCUUGAGUAGCAAGUAAAUAUUGCUUGUUAAUAAUAAUUUAUUUGUUUUUGGUUUUUAAAAAUGAAAUAAAAUAUUGAAGGUCCGCGAGA